rnacentral:rRNA from 1 species
UGGGCGUUAAGUUGCAGGGUAUAGACCCGAAACCCGGUGAUCUAGCCAUGGGCAGGUUGAAGGUUGGGUAACACUAACUGGAGGACCGAACCGACUAAUGUUGAAAAAUUAGCGGAUGACCUGUGGCUGGGGGUGAAAGGCCAAUCAAACCGGGAGAUAGCUGGUUCUCCCCGAAAGCUAUUUAGGUAGCGCCUCGUGAAUUCAUCUCCGGGGGUAGAGCACUGUUUCGGCUAGGGGGCCAUCCCGGCUUACCAACCCGAUGCAAACUGCGAAUACCGGAGAAUGUUAUCACGGGAGACACACGGCGGGUGCUAACGUCCGUCGUGAAGAGGGAAACAACCCAGACCGCCAGCUAAGGUCCCAAAGUCAUGGUUAAGUGGGAAACGAUGUGGGAAGGCCCAGACAGCCAGGAUGUUGGCUUAGAAGCAGCCAUCAUUUAAAGAAAGCGUAAUAGCUCACUGGUCGAGUCGGCCUGCGCGGAAGAUGUAACGGGGCUAAACCAUGCACCGAAGCUGCGGCAGCGAACGUAUCACUUAAAGCGAUUCAGCGGGUUACGAUUGACGGAGCGAAGCGACGUCAAAGCGUAUACAAAGUCGAGUUGGCUUAGGGAUACGUUCGUUGGGUAGGGGAGCGUUCUGUUGCUGGAGGUAUCAGAAGUGCGAAUGCUGACAUAAGUAACGAUAAAGCGGGUGAAAAGCCCGCUCGCCGGAAGACCAAGGGUUCCUGUCCAACGUUAAUCGGGGCAGGGUGAGUCGACCCCUAAGGCGAGGCCGAAAGGCGUAGUCGAUGGGAAACGGGUUAAUAUUCCCGUACUUGGUGUUACUGCGAAGGGGGGACGGAGAAGGCUAUGUUGGCCGGGCGACGGUUGUCCCGGUUUAAGCGUGUAGGUGUGUGUUCCAGGUAAAUCCGGUUCACUUUAACACUGAGGCGUGACGACGAGGCACUACGGUGCUGAAGCAACAAAUGCCCUGCUUCCAGGAAAAGCCUCUAAGCAUCAGGUAACAUCAAAUCGUACCCCAAACCGACACAGGUGGUCAGGUAGAGAAUACCAAGGCGCUUGAGAGAACUCGGGUGAAGGAACUAGGCAAAAUGGUGCCGUAACUUCGGGAGAAGGCACGCUGACACGUAGGUGAAGUGAUUUACUCACGGAGCUGAAGUCAGUCGAAGAUACCAGCUGGCUGCAACUGUUUAUUAAAAACACAGCACUGUGCAAACACGAAAGUGGACGUAUACGGUGUGACGCCUGCCCGGUGCCGGAAGGUUAAUUGAUGGGGUCAGCGCAAGCGAAGCUCCUGAUCGAAGCCCCGGUAAACGGCGGCCGUAACUAUAACGGUCCUAAGGUAGCGAAAUUCCUUGUCGGGUAAGUUCCGACCUGCACGAAUGGCGUAAUGAUGGCCAGGCUGUCUCCACCCGAGACUCAGUGAAAUUGAACUCGCUGUGAAGAUGCAGUGUACCCGCGGCAAGACGGAAAGACCCCGUGAACCUUUACUAUAGCUUGACACUGAACAUUGAGCCUUGAUGUGUAGGAUAGGUGGGAGGCUUUGAAGCGUGGACGCCAGUCUGCGUGGAGCCGACCUUGAAAUACCACCCUUUAAUGUUUGAUGUUCUAACGUGGACCCGUAAUCCGGGUUGCGGACAGUGUCUGGUGGGUAGUUUGACUGGGGCGGUCUCCUCCUAAAGAGUAACGGAGGAGCACGAAGGUUGGCUAAUCCUGGUCGGACAUCAGGAGGUUAGUGCAAUGGCAUAAGCCAGCUUGACUGCGAGCGUGACGGCGCGAGCAGGUGCGAAAGCAGGUCAUAGUGAUCCGGUGGUUCUGAAUGGAAGGGCCAUCGCUCAACGGAUAAAAGGUACUCCGGGGAUAACAGGCUGAUACCGCCCAAGAGUUCAUAUCGACGGCGGUGUUUGGCACCUCGAUGUCGGCUCAUCACAUCCUGGGGCUGAAGUAGGUCCCAAGGGUAUGGCUGUUCGCCAUUUAAAGUGGUACGCGAGCUGGGUUUAGAACGUCGUGAGACAGUUCGGUCCCUAUCUGCCGUGGGCGCUGGAGAACUGAGGGGGGCUGCUCCUAGUACGAGAGGACCGGAGUGGACGCAUCACUGGUGUUCGGGUUGUCAUGCCAAUGGCACUGCCCGGUAGCUAAAUGCGGAAGAGAUAAGUGCUGAAAGCAUCUAAGCACGAAACUUGCCCCGAGAUGAGUUCU